rnacentral:rRNA from 1 species
UACGUAGGGGGCGAGCGUUAAUCGGAAUUACUGGGCGUAAAGCGUGCGCAGGCGGUUUUGUAAGCCAGAUGUGAAAGCCCCGGGCUUAACCUGGGAAUGGCAUUUGGGACUGCAAGGCUUGAGUGCGGCAGAGGAGACUGGAAUUCCUGGUGUAGCAGUGAAAUGCGUAGAUAUCAGGAGGAAUACCGAUGGCGAAGGCAGGUCUCUGGGCUGACACUGACGCUCAUGCACGAAAGCGUGGGGAGCAAACAGG